rnacentral:lncRNA from 1 species
UGCUUGCAUAAUGAAAUGGAGUAUACUCCAUAUCCUAUACGUGCACACUUGUAAAAAAAAAAAAAAACCUAAACUUGGUUUGAAGCUAUUUCAGAAUGCCUAAUAAAAUUUUGGGAUUUGAAAAAAAGCAGUCAAUGUUAGAGAUGGAGGGAAAUAAGCAAAAGGCUUCAUGUCUUCUGCUCUUGAAAUGACAGACUGCACUGCAUAUAAUUGCAGAGGAAUGCAGUUGCCGUGAUGACAGAACUAUAACCUUUCUAUCACAACUGUAUUUUUACUAAGUCUUAUUCAAUCAAAUUGCUGAAACAUAAUAUUAAAAAUUAAUUUUAUAUAUAAUACAGUACUGGACUUCAGUGUAAUCAGACUGAUGUAAACUUUCAUAUACUACCUCUUAAACUUCAACCAUUAGCAUCUUAUGGGGAGGGUGUUGUCUUGUGCUGGAGGAAUACAUGAAGGCUUAAUGUGUAUGCAUUUUUUAAAAUGUAAAAUCCAGAAUCUAAGUAAGGAAACUUAGAUUUUUAUUGUUUUAAUAUUCUGUUGUAUGUUUUUGUGUAUGUGUAAUACACACAUUCCCAAUUUUUGAUUGAAGCAUAUCUCAUUAUGUAUGAACAAAUAAUUUGGGCUUCUUCAUCACAGAAUGAAAGUUCUUGUGUUAUUUGUACUUAUUUACAACAGUGAGACAAAUGUAAACCCCUCUAAAGCAAUUUGGGGAUGGACUAGCCUUUAAGUGCACCUUAUCUGAAAGAGCGAAAUAUGGCUACAGUGGUACACUUUUUUGGAGUUACAGUAGAGUCUCACUUAUCCAACAUUCGCUUAUCCAACAUUCUGGAUUAUCCAACGCUUUUUUGAGGUCAAUGUUUUCAAUACAUUGUGAUAUUUUGGUGCUAAAUUCGUAAAUACAGUAAUUACUAUGUAGCAUUACUGCAUAUUGAACUACUUUUUCUGUCAAAUUUGUUGUAUAACAUGAUGUUUUGGUGCUUAAUUUGUAAAAUCAUAACCUAAUUUGAUGUUUAAUAGGCUUCUCUGCUGUGGCCCCCCGACUGUGGAAUUCACUGCCCAUUGAGAUUAGGCAAGCCCCCACAUUACUAGCCUUCAAGAAAGACUUAAAAACAUGGCUCUUCCGUUGUGCUUUUGGAGAGUAACUGUCAUAUACUUCUUUUUUGUUGCUCCCCCCCGCCCCCCAAUAUCUAUCCUCUAGACUGUACCACUAUCUUAUGACCCUGUUCCCCGUGGUUUUUAUUCUUAUUUCUUUCUCAUCCCGAGUUUUAACUUAGUGUUCAUGAGGCCCGCCCUGGUUUUUAUUGAUUUUCUGAUUUAGUGCUGUAUUAUGUAUAUUAUUAUCUA